rnacentral:rRNA from 1 species
GAUGAACGCUGGCGGCGUGCUUAACACAUGCAAGUCGAACGGAAAGGCCCUGCUUGCCGGGUACUCGAGUGGCGAACGGGUGAGUAACACGUGGGUGAUCUGCCCUGCACUUCGGGAUAAGCCUGGGAAACUGGGUCUAAUACCUGCUAGGUGCCAUUUUUAGCGUGAUGGUUGGAAAGUUUUUUCGGUGUUGGGUGAGCUGGCGGCCUAUCAGCUUGUUGGUGGGGUAAUGGCCUACCAAGGCGGCGGCGGGUAGCCGGCCUGAGGGGGUGGACGGCCACAUUGAGACUGACGGAAGGCCCAGGCUGCGAAGGGUGGCAGCAGGGGGGAAGAUUGCACAAUGAGCGCAAGGCGGAUGCAGCGAGGCCGCGGGGGGGAAGACGGCCUUCGGGGUGAAAAAUCCUUUCGCUAGGAACGAAGCUUUUUGUGACGGUACCUAGAGAAGAAGCACCGGCUAACUACGUG